CAGUGUGUAUAACAUGUGUCUGAGAGUGAGUGUGGCAGUGUGUAUAACAUGUGUCUGAGAGCUAGUGUGGAAAUGUGUAUAAUGUGUGUCUGAGAGUGAGGCAGUGUGCAUAAUAUGUGUCUGAGAGUGAGUGUGGCAAUGUGUAUAAUGUGUGUCUGAGAGUGAGGCAGUGUGCAUAAUAUGUGUGUGAGAGUGAGUGUGGCAAUGUGUAUAAUGUGUGUGUGUCUGGGAGUGAGUGUGGCAGUGUGUAUAAUGUGUGUCUAAGAGUGUGUGUGGUAGUGUGUAUAAUGUGUGUCUGAGAGUGAGUGUGGCAGUGUGUAUAAUGUCUGUCUGGGAGUGAGUGUGGCAAUGUGUAUAAUGUGUGUCUGAGAGUGAAUGUGGCAGUGUAUAUAAUGUGUGUGGCUAAGAGUAAGUGUGGCAGUGUGUAUAACGUGUGCCUGAGAGUGAAUGUGGCAGUGUACAUAAUGUGUGUGGCUAAGAGUAAGUGUGGCAGUGUGGUAUUUGUGUGGCAGUAUGUGUAAUGUGUGUCUUAGAGUGAGUGUGGCAGUGUGUAUAAUGUGUGUCUUAGAGUGAGUGUGGCAGUGUGUAUAAU